rnacentral:lncRNA from 1 species
UUUUGUUUCAUUUCAUUACCAAUAUCUUUGAGUACAAAGUUAUAAUUGCAAGGACCGUUGAAAUUAUAAGAAGAGAAAUAUAAAAAGACAAUUAUUGGGUUCUCCAAGAUUAACUAAAUGAAAACUAGAAAAUAUUAUAGUAUAAGGUAGUAUUUCAUAUAUUUAUUGCUAUUAUAAGAGCACAUUCUUCCAUUCAUGAUGUAAGUGUACUCUUUUUAGGUUGGAACUCAUGUAAUCGAGCUAAUCUACACCAGUUAUUAACACACUCAUAUUGACGAAUAUAAUCACUCUUUGGACAAUCAUCAGUAGUU